rnacentral:tRNA from 1 species
CGGAGCAUGUUGUAGCGGAAGCAUUUUUGGUUUGGGGCCAAAAGGCGAAAGUUCGAGCCUUUCUGUUCCGA